rnacentral:rRNA from 1 species
CCUACGGGGGGCAGCAGUGGGGGAUAUUGCACAAUGGGGGAAACCCUGAUGCAGCGACGCCGCGUGGGCGAAGAAGUAUUUCGGUAUGUAAAGCCCUAUCAGCAGGGAAGAAGAAAUGACGGUGCCUGAGCAAGAAGCACUGUCUAAAUACGUGCCAGCAGCCGCGGUAAUACGUAGGGUGCAAGCGUUAUCCGGAUUUACUGGGUGUAAAGGGAGCGUAGGCGGCACGGUAAGCCUGAUGUGAAAGCCCGCGGCCCAACCGCGGGGCUGCGUUGGGAACUAGCGGGCUGGAGUGCCGGAGAGGUAGGCGGAAUUCCGAGUGUAGCGGUGAAAUGCGUAGAUAUUAGGAGGAACACCAGUGGCGAAGGCGGCCUACUGGACGGUGACUGACGCUGAGGCUCGAAAGCGUGGGGAGCAAACAGGAUUAGAUACCCGUGUAGUC